AUGUCCUUCAGGUUUUUAAUCUCUACUGAUUCUUCAGCCCUCACUCUUCCAGAUACCUUCUCCAAAACUCUGGACUAUACUGCCAAAGGAACUGCGCCUCUUCUUAUCACAGCAAAAACUGCUUCUCUGGCUAUAGGAUCUAAUGGACUAGAAAGCUCCAAGAGCUGGGACAUGCUGUGCCCCACCUCAAACCUGGCACAGAACAGAGGGGAUCCAAAGAGCGACAAAAACUGGACAACAGAAUACUCCAGAGAAUGGAAAAUCAGGACAGGAAAAGUAAGGCUUAGUUCCAGAACAAUGCCUGCAGAAACGCUUCACAAGCCUGAGUAUCCAUGUGACGGGAAUCUUGAGUGUGUUUUAAAAUGCCUGGGCACGACUGGGGAGGAGACAUGGAGAAGGCCAGAAUGCACCAGUACCUUCACCUCAGCUGUCUCUGUCCCUUAUCUGAAUGUGUCACAUGUCCCUGACAAGAAUAGAGCAUCGCAAGGCAAAGGAAAAAUACAGUAUCCAGUUUUCUACUGUUAAAUGCUACUUGUUGGGGAAGUCUUUCUAGACACUAAUGACAAGGUUUUCUUAGAAUAGUGAUUAGAUUCAAAUUAUUUCUUCUACAAGAUAUUGAUAUCUUUGCUAUAGGCCCAUAAUGUAGAAUGUGCUGCUUGCUGGGGCCAACUAGGAUUUUUCAACAGUUCCUCUCACUGUUCUGGAAUAGAAAUGAAUGAAAACAACAACAAAAUCAACAACAACAACAACAACAAACUGUUAAAUGCUCUUUUCCAAUACUGUUGACCUAUAAUAUUGUUAUAAGAAUGUAACAAUGUGGUCCUUCUACAUGUUCUCUUUCAUUCUUAACUGUCUUAUGUAUAGAUGUUCAUCCAUGCUUCCAUGUAAUGGGCAAGGGCUUUGGACCACUGGCUUUGAAUCCCUACACCUGCUUAUUAGCCAUGGGACACUAUCCUUGAAACAUGGCUAACACUGCUGUAUUAAAUAGAUAUUAAGAAUUAUAGACACAAAGCCCUCAGCAUAGAGCCUGGCAUAGGCAGGCACUCAGUAGAUUUUAUUCUUUUUCCUUCAAUCUCUUUUAAAUAAUUUUGAGAAGGCAAGACAGAUUUAUUGAUUGAUGGAUUUAUUGGUACCGGGGAUUGAACUCGGGUCCUUGUGCUUGCAAGGCAGGCCACCGAACAGCUGAGCUAAAUCCCCGGCAUAUCUUUUUGGUUUUUUGAGACAGGGUUUCACUAUGUAGUUCAGACUGCUCUGGAACUCAUUGUGUAGCCCAGGUUGGUCUCGAACUCACAGCGAUCCUCCUGCCUCAGCCUCCCGAGUGCUGGGAUUACAGGCGUGUGCCACCAUGCCUGGUGAGAAGGAAGAUUUAAAUGACAAAUACUCAUUCAUUUCAUCAUGACUUAAAAAAAAAAUGGGAAAGCACAGAGAAAAUCUUGGUUUGUAUACCACUAUUAAAUCAAAAGUAAAGUGUUAAAACCAAAAAUAAAAGCAGCCGUUGUUUUGAAGACACUAAAGUAAAACUGAACACGAGCCUUAUAAUACAGACGAGACAGAAGCUUAAAGAUAGGUUUUUCCUGCUGAAAACCCUAUCAGCAAUUUUUCUACUUAUCACUAUCAAAGGGCCCUCCCCUUCCUGCAACUGGCAGGAGGCAAUUUGCUGCCAACCCAGGGAGAAUAACCAAGUCUUAUGAAAAUGUAAACCUGAAUGCAAGAAAGAAAGAAAAAAAGAGAGAGAGGGAGACAGAGAGAGAGGGAGAAAGAGAGAGAAGGAAAGAUAAGGGGGGGGAGAGAAAGAAAAGAAAGGAAAGGAAAGAAAAUACAGAAAGAAAAUGCAUCACUGACUUCUGACCUUCUAAUACAUUAGUAUGCUGCAAAGCUUACUGAGAAAUUGUAUUUGUGUCUGUCUCUAUCUUUCUCUCAUGUCCAACCGAGGGACUUGUGGCUGUUAGGUAAAUGUUCUGCUACUGAGUUUUAUUCCUAGCUCAAAAAUUAUUUCUUUAAAAUAUUUUUGACACUUAAUUUUUUUCUUCAUGAAACAUUUGAAUAGCAAGGGGGAAAUGGCUUAUUAUGUUUAAGAAAUAGAAUAAUAUGUAAAGAAGGAGAAGACUAAAAAAUAGAGAGGCCUAAUAAAUAGUGGGUGGCAGAAGGAGGUCAGUGUGGGCAGAUAUACAAAUAUUCCUGCUCUGACAUCUUGUAGAUUUUGUGGUCAGUGUAGGGAAAGUUGGGAGACAGGCAGGGAAAGCUAAGGGCCUUAGUGAGGUUUCCGGCAAAUCUUGACUGGAAAGAGUUAAACCUCCACUAAGAGCAAUUAAGCAGGGAGAACUGAUAAACAGCCUGGCUUGCUUUGGAGCCAGGGCCCCAAUUCCAUCCUCUCCACCUCUAGUUCAGUAUAAAAAGACAAAGUAGUAAAGGGGCUAUAUUAUUAAAAAACCUCAGUUUAUAAAAUAAAUACUGGGAAGAGUAGGGGAAAGGAAAUAAGGGACAAGAAAAAGUAUGUGAAAAGGAAAGAAACGGAAACA
ensembl:lincRNA